AAAAAAAAAAAAAAAAAUCAGAUAACCUUCUUCAUUUAUGUCAAGAGGUGGGAGCUCGAGUCAUCAUCAUCACUUGAUGUUGCUGAAAGCUGAACUGAUCCCUAUGAGAACAGCUGCUUGUUCAAUGCCUUACCUAUAAUGUCCCAUAUCAAUCAUAUCUUACUGAAAAUGUAUAUAUAAAAUACUUGUAUUGGAAAAUUUCUUCAUAUAUAAGAUAUUUGUAUCGGUUUCUACAUCCUUGAUGCGCCUCUGAGAUUAUUAGUACAUAAAAGGGUAAGACAAUUUUAAAGUCAGCGAUUGUACUGGGCAUAAUUCUUCAUCAACCAUAUCCCAGUUGCCAUUUCUGUUUACACCCGUCUAUUUUAUCCCUUGAAACCUUAAUUUCUAAUAAUGACUCCCAUGCAUUCUGAGGUGGCUGAGGCAGCUAGGAGGCGGCUAGAGGCGGCUGAGCUGCAGGCUAGGAUUUAUAGGGGGUGGCUGUUUUCGAGCCCAGCUCCAUUAAAAAAAAGAGGGCUCUAUGUAUAAUAAAAGCAGGUCGUUGCGUGGAAGCUCGGACUCGAAGAUGCACAGCCCGAACUGACGGUGGUUACGAAGGAUAACAGAUGGAUUAAGCUUUUGAAACCGAGGAAGAGCUAUGAAGCAUCCAUUAGAACCUUUUUGAUCACUGUCCAGUUGCUUCAUUUUCUGAGGAGGGAACCCAAGUCGUCGGAGGAGAGCCUUCGGGAUCACUUGGGAAAAAAAAUUACAGUUCGUUUGACGAUCGGCCUUCUGUCAAUGACCUCCUAGAUCAUUAUCCAGAAAUUAAGCUGCUUUGUAGAGUGGGAUGCUGCAUUGGCAAAAUCUCAGGACAAACUAAAAGUUUAUCUUGCACCUUUCCUUCAUGGAAGGCACUACACAUCGUUUGGCCGUCAUUUCACAGAAGUUGAUAAGCUCAAGGAGAUUGUAGAUAGGCUUCAAUGGUAUGUGAAAGAUGGUGAUACAAUUGUUGAUUUCUGCUGCGGCGCUAAUGAUUUCAGCCAAUUAAUGAAAGAAAAGCUUGAUAUGCAACAGGAAAUAAAUGUUCAUUUAAAAAUUAUGACAUCAUUCAACCGAAGGUGCAUUCUUAUAGAAAACUGAAAAUGACUGGAUCAAAUUGUUGAAUUUUGAAAGGCAAAUUUUUAGAUUUUAGGUGUUUCGCUGCAUUACUAUGUAGUUACCACACAAGAAAGCGAUGAGUCUAUUCUUAAAUUUUAUUUUCUUAAUUGUGUACAAAUUGUUUAGAGGCCUAUAUAGUUUUUAGAUUGAUUAACAGGGUCUUUGGAUA